rnacentral:lncRNA from 13 species
ACAAAAUUAAAGGUAAAAACUAUUAAUAAAUUUUCAACAGUUGCAUAGUUGCUUUUUCCGCUGAACGCAACCAAUGAUUGUACACUUUCAAGAUUUGAAGGUCUGAAAAUAGAGAUUUUCAGGAGAUUGAUUAUGGAUUACACAACUUGAAAAUUAUGAAAAUGAGUGAAUUUAUUAAAAUAUUAAUCAUUUUGUCAUAAAUUUGCUCAUUUUUAUAAUUUUUACCAAGUCCAAUCUGUAAUCUGCACUUAAAUCCAUUCUAGAAUUGCGUAAAACGUGGUUGUAGGAUUUUGGGAGUAGUAUUGAAUGCUGUAUACUGUAUAAGGUAAUCUACAAUGAAGUAAAGGUAUGUCUUCUAAACGAUGGUAGCGUGGAUACUAGUCCUCUGAGCCGAGCUGACACGUGAGAAUCCUCUAAUUGAUUCACUCUUACAACCAACACUAUGAGCGUGAACGAUAAAGUUUAAUGUAUUUUACAACCUGUAAUAAUGGCUUACAAAUGUGUCUUACAACACAGUUUACAAUCACUUACAAUCACAUUUACACAAUUGUAGAAGGAAUUUAAAGUCUUUUAGUAAAAAACGCAUGGAAUUAUUGGUCAAUCUAGAAAUCCUCAAAUAAGAGUUUGGUUACAAUAUAUAACCAAUAGAAGCUAGAAUUGAUGUUUACGCGUAAAAUAUAAAUAAUCUACAUUAUGUGUGCAAAAUGUAAAUUUAUAUAAAUUAUGUUUUACGUGUCAUUUAUGUAAACAAUAAUCAAUGGAUCGUAGAAGAUGCAGAUUUUAUCAGAAAUAGUGAAAAUUAUGUAUAUGAAAAUUAUAUAUUUUUAUUUUAUUAAAGGCAGAUAUAUAUUAACAAUUUUAUAACUUCUUUUUUCUGUUGUAUUAUCCAAUUUAUAAUAAUUUACAUUGAUUGCAUUGUUUACAUGAAAAAAGAUUUGUCCCAGAUUAAUCUACAGAUUUCGCGCAGAGCAUGCUAUCAACUUUUGAUGGCAGAAUGGCAACAAAUUGCACACAGUAUCUAUACUAUCUGAUACUGUCGACAUACUGCCGUCAAAAAUAAGGUUGUCGACAGAUCCUGAGCUCAAUGCGGGCACAGAUGGCUUAUGAAUCUGUUGUCACCAUCUGAUCUGAAUUUGAUGCCAAUCUGCGCGCAGACUGUGCACAGUUUGCUAUCGGGGAUAUAAACAUAACGGAAACAAUGUGUAAAUAAUUCAUAUGUAUUCUUGAUAUGUACGGCACAAUCCUGAUAGAAACAUUCUAUAAAAAAAAAAAUGUGUGGUCGCGCAAAUUUUAUUACGCAUCUUUUAUUUCUGGUAUCAUAUUAUCAAAUGAAAUAAAACAGGAAUGUACAUAUGUGCACAUACAACUUAUAAGUUUAAUCAUCGAACGAAGCAAUCCAGUUAUGAACCAAGAAGAGAAGAAAGGGAGUGACGACUUAGCGGGAUACACAAGACCAUGAUAAAAGGAGGAAGAUGGAGGAAGCGGAGAUGGAUUCAAUUUCCUACGCGUUAGAUGUAGCCCCUCCGUCGUUGUAAGUUACUCACAAGUCAGCAAAGUAGGCAGCUGUAUUAUUAAGUUAGAUUGUAGUUUAUAUAUUUUUGCGAUUUUCUUACAAUUGUAUCACUUACGAUUUUCACUUACGAUAUUAGUAUUAAAUUAGAGUAAGUCUCUUUCGUGAAUGCAUGUGUUUCUAAGACAAAAUUUAAUAAGCUAUAGGAUAAGAAUGUUAUUUUCUACUUUUAUAAAGUAUUUGGAAAAUUAUUGAUAUUUUGACUGGACAACAUGGGAUAAAGGAAAAUAAAAUAAUUGUGUGCAGCGAUAUUGCGCUUCCUGUCCGGCAAUUGACCACAUUCAUAGCGCAAUUUUUUUCUUUGGACAGCCAAUUUGCGUUGUAGAGUCUAUAAUGUAGACAAUCGCGUCUCAUUCGAACAGAUCUAUAUCUGAUAAUUUCAUCUGUAAUAAUUCAAGUCUAAUGAUUUAAUUCAAGUCUAGAUUUCGUAAGCAAUCGAUGAGCUUCAGCUACACUUUUUUUUCAAAUCAAAGUAGUGUAGAAGUACACGUUGGAAAAACAACUUGUCGCGUUCCAUUUUAAUGCAGUUAUAGAAAAGCAUCUAUGCAUACAAAGGAUGGUGUCUAUUGACUAAAUUUUAGUGGGAAAUGUUCACACUUCAAAAUGACAUAAGUCUCUGACAGAUGUCUCUGACACUGCAUACGCAGCUAUAGCCAUUUAAACGUGAACAGAGCCUUCAAUGCAACCCCCUAAAGCCAUGUGUUCAUGAUGCUAGAAAUCGGUCCGAGAACAUUUGAACAAUUCGACCAAUUGAUUAAUGCGAUUGGUCAAUUCUCUUUCCGAGAUCUCGGACCGACUUUUAGCAUCGUGUACAAGGCUUUAUAGAACGGCAGCCUUUUAUUUACUAUACCAUCUAGAAAUAUUAGAAGUGCAUAAAACAUCUCAAUGUCAGAUUACACAUACCCCAGCCUACCCUUCCUAAAAUAAAACUUUUAUUAUUUAAAAUAAAAAUUUUGAGUCUAUAUAAAUAUAUUUGGAUAACAUGCAUCAACUUUUAUAUGAUUAAAACAUUUUUUAAUAAAGCAUUUGUGUAUCACAAAACAUCA